GGAUUUUCAACCUGGGGAAGCUUUCGUGGUUCGCAAUGUUGCUAACAUUGUUCCACCCUAUGACCAGGUCACCAUUUUUUAGCCCAUUUCAUUUAUAAUUUGCUUGAAUUUAUUUCAUUUUGAAAUAAUUUUUUUUUUCUUUUUUGGGGGGAUUCUCUGCUUUCACAGACUAAGUAUGCUGGAGUUGGAGCUGCUGUCGAGUAUGCAGUUUUGCAUCUCAAGGUGAUUAAAUUGAUAAUAUAUAUAUAUAUAUAUAUAUAUAUAUAUUUAAUCUCAGCAUCUAUUGGAGUCUAUUAAUUUAUCUAAGUGUGGAUUAAUUUUGCUACAGGUUUCAAACAUUGUGGUUAUUGGGCACAGCGCCUGUGGCGGCAUCAAAGGACUCAUGUCUUUCCCAUUUGAUGGAAACAACUCCACGUAUGGCCUCAUCUGUAAACUAAUCAUUCAUAUAUGUUUGAAUCAAAAUACAGGGAUUAACUAAUAAUAAUUUUUGCCAAUCGGUUGAAACUUGAAACAUGUAGCGAUUUCAUUGAAGACUGGGUGAAAAUUGGCAUCCCUGCCAAGUCUAAGGUGUUAACAGAGCAUGGUGACAAGCCUUUUGGAGACCAAUGCACAUACUGUGAAAAGGUUAUUAAUUAACUUACUAUUAGCAGCUACCUUAUUUAUUUCUCCAUCUACACUGCUGCUCUGUUGAAAUUUCGAUUUUUCGGAAGCAAAUAAAAAUGUAAACUGCAAUAU
rnacentral:lncRNA from 1 species